GGUGGAUCCAGUUGAGAAUGGGCGUCAACAGUUAGCUAACGUCCAGCCACUCAUUCAUAGAAUAUCAGCUUGCAAAUAACUAUUUAUUUUUAUUUUUGUAUCAACAAUAAUUCUAACCAAGUUUAGUCAUGGUGUGGUGCUCAGUACCUGGAUGUGCAAACUACAAGCAAGCACAGGCUGCUGUGGUACAAUUUCAUUGGUUACCUGCCGAAGAUAUUCCUCGGAGCCGACAGUGGGUGGGGGCAAUGAUGUGAAUACUCCCGUGCAAAGCACCCCCACAUGUCCAUGUUUGUAGCCAACACUUUCAGUCAGAGGAUUUUGAAACGUACCUGAAGUCUCAACUGAUGUGGUUGCCAGGUCGUUGAACGUUGAAAACUGCUAUUCCAUCUAUUUUCCCCUUCACUUCAAACAGGAAGGUAUCCGACCAGCCAACAUUAACGCAGAAAAAAGAAGUCGAGCAGAGGCCAUCUGGAGGCAUUGCACAGUGCUCUCCUGAAGUACAACUCAAACUGGCAGCAUUUUGGGCACCUGGGCAUGAAGGGAGAGGACACAUCUUGUUAUCCCGGAUUAUAAUGAGAAUGUGGGACGCAAACAAGCCCGGACAGCCAAAGGCACUCCACAUGAAGGCCCCCUAGGGAAGAGAAAACUACAGGAAAGGGAGAGAUGGAAAAGGAGGAGUUAAGUAUACAGGCCCUGGGAGUGUACUUCUGAGGUAUUUCAAAAUACUGGUUUUGAAAUGCUGAGAAAUUGCAUGGAUUAAGGUCAGUGGCUGGAAGCCCUAGCCAGAGCCAGCUUGAGUUUGUCUACAUGUUCUAUAUCUGGAAUGAUGAAGUAGGGCCCACCCAAAUAGCUGGUGAUAGUAGUGUGUUCACAGAUACAUUGUUGUGCUGCACUGUGCACACCUGUACUGCCAAAGUCCCUUUGAUAGCAGUCAUAAAGAUAUACGGUGUUUUGUUUAUAGCACCAGAACUACUCAGAUAGAAUACAAUGGCAUUUUUAUUACAUAGCUUCACUUAUUCUGAAUACCUCACUACCAGUUUUAAAGAGAAGAUUGUCCUGAUUUGAGCCAUAAUGAGAUUAACUCUAUAGUGUACAGUACAUACUAGUACAUAUACAGUACAUACUAGUAUUCGAACUAAGAGCUUACCAUUCAGACCACUUGCUGUCAAUAGUUAUGAGAAAAUGCCUCUCAUCUAUUCUCCUCUCUCUCUCUCCUGUAUCUACCCACAUGAAGAAGAAAAAUAAUACUAUAGUAUACUAUGGUAUUAAUACUAUAAAUCAUAUCAAAUCUAGUCCAAUUUUAUGGGUCACACACAUAUUUAGUAGAUGUUAUUGCGGGUGUAGUGAAAUGCUUGUAUUCCUAGCUCCAACAGUGCAGUAGUAUCUAACAAUUCACAAAAAUACAAACAAAUCUAAAAGUAAAAAAAUGUAAUUAAGAAAUACAUAAAUGUUAGAUUGAGCAAUGUCGGAGUGGCAUUGACUAAAAUACAUGAGAAUUCAGUAUAUACAUAUGAGAUGAGCAAAGCAGCAUGUAAACAGUAUUUAAACAUUAUUAAAGUGGCCAGUGAUUCCAAGUCUAUGUAUUUGGCAUUGCCAGUGAUGAGCUAUGCUGAUAGCAGAGUGUGGGAGAGCUGAGCCGCCCAGAGCGAGAGAUGUUUACCUGACCAGAGGGCAAGACAGGGUGUGGUCAGCAACAGUAUACCACUUCCCUUUUUCUCUCUCUCUCUUUCUCUCUCUCGACCCAUUUAUUCAGAAGUGUGAGUAAAGCUAGACUGAGUACAUUGUUUGACACUGUUCAAAUGGGUCUGAUUCAACUUCACAAUUUGCUGCUACCCAUCUCUACAUUUCUCAGUGGUGAAGUGUAAUACUGUGUAAUUGAGCUGGUUUCCCACGUCUAUAAGGCGCCACUCUGUGUGAUAGUAUCUGUGCGUUAGUGAGAUGAUUCUGUUGAGAUAUGUUGACUCCUGUCUUGAUAACAUCUACCUGUAAUUCAGCAUUGCAAUAAUAUCAUAUACUGAUUUCAAUGGGCACGCCUCACUAAUCUCAGUAGGUCACCUGUGUGCGCGCGCACACACACACACACACACGCAUGCAGACACACAAACACACACACACACACAAACAAGCAAACACACGCACUGUGUACGAGGGACAAAACCAGUUGCUUGGGAGGCAUCCAAGAGCCAGCAUCUCUAUUGUUGAGGAACAGUGUGUGUCUCCACCUGAUGGAUAGGGAUGCAUGCUCAGAUUACAGAUGCAGGUCAUGAAACAACUACAGGCUGGGCAUGUUCACUAUAGAGACACGUGAACACAGCAGACCGAACAUGUUGGUUACAGUGAGCCAAACCUGUCAAUACAAUGUAAAUUACAAUGUCUUAGUGUUAAUUCUAUGCGAUGUGAAAUGCAUUCCAUUACCCAGUAUGCAUGUGUGUGUUCAUGUGUGUUUUCAUGCAUGCGUGUGUGUGUGCAUGUAUGCGUGCGUGCGUGCAUGUGUGCGUGCGUGCGUGCGUGCAUGUAUGCGUGCGUGCAUGUAUGCAUGCGUGUCACGACUUCUGCUGAAGUGGGUGCUUCUCCUUGUUCGGGCGGCGUUCGGCAGUCGUCGUUGCCGGCUUUCUAGCUGCCACCGAUUCUCGUUUGUCGGGAGCUGGCCUGCAGGGACACCACCCUUACCCUCGACCAGCUGGUGGAUUUAUCCAUCCGGCUGGAUAACCUAUUGGCCACCCGCAGACGUUCAGAUCAGGGUCCGUCCAUUCCAUCCCCCAGCACCUCCGAUCCAACACCUAUGGAGCUCGGAGGUGCUGCUUUAAGGGUAACCGGAGGGGGGGCUGUUUCCUGCACUACCUGUGGCCGCAGAGGAUACACUGCUGGUCGGUGCUGGAGAGGUUCCCCAGGAAGUCGAGGCAGCAGGCAGGGCACUGGUGGAUCAUCCCAGGUGAGUAUGCACCCAACUCACCCAGAGCUUCCUGUUGCGCACAUGUAUAUAUCUAUAGAAUUUCCUGAGUUUUCCCCGCAUUCCCAGCAUAAGGCGCUAGUAGAUUCAGGCGCAGCUGGGAACUUUAUUGACCGUUCAUUUGCUCGUAGAUUAGGGAUCCCUAUUGUUCCUGUUGAUGUGCCUUUCCCUGUACAUUCCUUAGAUAGUCGUCCUUUAGGGUCAGGUCUGAUUAGGGAGGUCACAGCUCCCCUUUGUAUGAUAACGCAGGAGGGUCAUGAGGAGAGAAUUAGUCUCUUCCUGAUAGAUUCUCCUGCGUUUCCUGUGGUGUUGGGGUUUCCCUGGUUGGCCCAUCAUAACCCCACUAUUUCGUUGCAACAGAGGGCUCUCAAGGGAUGGUCACGUCAGUGUUCAGGGAGGUGUAUAGGUGUUUCCAUAGGUGCAACUACGGUGCAACUACGGUGGAGAGUCCAAAC